UACGUAGGUGGCGAGCGUUGUCCGGAUUUACUGGGCGUAAAGGGAGCGUAGGCGGACUUUUAAGUGAGAUGUGAAAUACUCGGGCUCAACUUGAGUGCUGCAUUUCAAACUGGAAGUCUAGAGUGCAGGAGAGGAGAAUGGAAUUCCUAGUGUAGCGGUGAAAUGCGUAGAGAUUAGGAAGAACACCAGUGGCGAAGGCGAUUCUCUGGACUGUAACUGACGUUGAGGCCCGAAAGCGUGGGGAGCAAACAGG
rnacentral:rRNA from 1 species